rnacentral:lncRNA from 1 species
UGAGAAGCUGCGAAGAUGGCGGAGUAAGGCGUGCCGCUGCAAACUGGCCUCUGGGCCGGGGGCGAGCAGCCCCCGGGAGGCCGAGUGCAUCUGUUGGACCGUGCGAGGAGAAGAAAAAAAAUAUCGGCCAGAGGAGAGGAACUAACCGAACAUUCUUCCUCCCUACCUUAUAGAGGGGAGUGGUCAUCUACACUAAAGCAAAGUGUUAGGCGCGUCCGUGCGAAGAGACCACCAAACAGGCUUUGUGUUCCUUAUCACAGGAAGAAAAUUUUCCUUGACCUUUAGGUGCUUUUAUAUUCAUCUCAAAAACAAAAUUCUGAACUCAGGACUUGGCAAACAGAGUUUUGCUCUUGUCGCCCAGGCUGAAGUGCAAUGGCGCAAUCUCAGCUCACUGCAACCUCCGCCUCCCGGGUUCAAGCGAUUCUCCUGCCUCAGCCUCCUGAGUAGCUGACAUUAUAGGCACCUGCCACCACGCCCAGCUAAUUUUUGUAUUUUUAGUAGAGAUGGGGUUUCACCAUAUUGGGCAGGCUCGUCUUGAACUCCUGACCUCGUGAUCCGCCCACCUUAGCCUCCCAAAAUGCUGAGAUUGGAGGUGUGAGCCACCGCGCCUGGCCAGUGUGUCCUUUCUUAAUUGACAGUGACAUUAUAUCUGCAAAAUAGGCUUCAUACCUACUGUGUUAGUUUUAGUUUCCUAGGCCUGCUGUAACAAAGCACCACAAAUUGGGUAGCUUAGAAUAACAGAAAUUGUUUGAUAGUUAUAAAUAAAGGUCAGAUGUCUAAAACCAAAGUGUUGGCAGGGCCGUCCCUCUGAAGGCACUGAAAAAAAAAUUUCCAGUCCUUCUAAUUUCUUGUGGUUCCUUAACUUGUGGCAGCAUAACUCCAGUCUUCACAUGAAGUUCUUCCUGUGUGUGUAUCUGAGUCCUAAUAUAAGGAGACUAGUCAUAUUGGAUUGGGGUCCAUCCUGCUCUGUUAAUGACCUCAUCUUAGCUGCUGACAUCUGUAAUGACUCUAUUACCAAAUAAGGUCACAGUAUGAGGUAGUAGGGGCUAGGACUUUUAACAUACGAAUAUUGGGAGGACACAGUUCAACCCAUUAACACCUACUUAUACCUUGAUUAAUUAUAUGAAAACCAUUCAGUGUACAACUGCUUCAAGGAUUGAAACCUUGUAUGUAGUCCCAGCUACUCUGGAAACUGAGGUAGUAGGAUUGCUUGAGGCCUGAAGUUCAAGGCUGCAGUAUGCUGAUUGUGCCUGUGAAUAGCCACUGCACCCCAGCUUGGGCAGCAUCAGAAUUAUAGAGACAGAAAGUAGAAUGAUGGUUGCCAGGGGUUGCAGGAAGGGCAGCGAGAGGGAAUUACUGUGUAAUGUGUACAAGGUUUCAGUUUGGGAAGAAGAAAUGAGUCCUGGAGAUGGAUUACGGUGAUGGUUGCACAGCAGUAUGAAUGUACUUAAUACUACUGAAUUGUAUACUCGAAAGGGUUAAUAUGGUGAAUUUUAUGUGUAUUUUAUCACAAUAAAAACAUUGAAAAAUAAAACAAUCUUUGUAUGUAUAUGUAUAUAUGUGUGUGUAUAUAUGAUAUAUAUGAUUGAUAUAUAUAUAUCAGUAGUAAGAAAGGGAAUAAAAACUGAUGAGGCAAAAUGCCCUUUAGAGUGAAGAAGGCCUUACCACUUGGAUUUACAACUUUAAGUCCAAGUAGACAAUAAUAGAAACUUGACAUUGGUAUAGCACAAUAUUUAUAGUAAUCUAAAUAUCC